GUACAAACGAAUGGGGAUGGAUUAUUACGCUUCGCUAAUUUAUACCUCAACCUAUUGCAUUGCCAUUGGUGAAAGACAAUAAAUAUUUGUCGAAAAAUUGAAAUUAUUAGGAGUUUCUAUUACUUUGCAUAUUAUCAAAAUACUGAGAGGUUCUUGAAAAUUAUAAUACAACAUUGGCUGGCAUACCAGAGGUUGCAGAGGAGGCUAUAACGUACAUAUUUGUCGAACGUAUAUGGAGCAUGCAGAACAAAACGUUUACUUUAUUCGGAGUUGUAUUGUAUUUUACAAAAUAUAUUCAGU